GCAGCAGGCGCGAAAACUUUACAAUGCGAGCAAUCGUGAUAAGGGAACUCCGAGUGCCCGUAAAAUCGGGCUGUCCGCCAGUGUAAAUAACUGGUGAAGAAAGGGCCGGGCAAGACCGGUGCCAGCCGCCGCGGUAAUACCGGCGGCUCGAGUGGUGGCCACUAUUACUGGGCUUAAAGCGUUCGUAGCUGGUCUGUUAAGUCUCUGGGGAAAUCUUCCGGCUUAACCGGAAGGCGUCUCAGGGAUACUGACAGACUAGGGACCGGAAGAGGUGAGAGGUACUCCAGGGGUAGGAGUGAAAUCCUGUAAUCCUUGGGGGACCACCUGUGGCGAAGGCGUCUCACCAGGACGGCUCCGACAGUGAGGAACGAAAGCUGGGGGAGCA
rnacentral:rRNA from 1 species